UUAAGUUGUUAAGUAGUAAUGAACCAAAUUGUGCUAUAGCCUCAACUUCUACUUCAUCUUCACUAAGCCUAAAGAAAAAGUUGCAACAAGAACACAUUUUUUCAGCUGGGAUUUUCUCAUUCAAGCCUAUAAAAAAACCAAAAUUUUGUGACAAAAAACAUAGUAUUCAUAACCUUAAGAAACAACAUAGUUAUGUGAAAAAUUUGGAACAAUCAAAAUUUUCAAGCAAAAAUAAAGUACCUAAUGAAGUUGAAGAUUUCUUCUUUUUUCCUCCAAACCCUUUUUUUCCACCACCUAUUAUCCCUAAUCCACUUCAACCUCCACCUUUGAUUCCUAACCCUUUGCAACCACCACCUUUGAUUCCAAAUCCAUUUCAACCACCAAGUCCACCCUUGAUUCCUAAUCCAUUUCAACCACCAAGUCCACCACUUAUUCCAAAUCCAUUUCAACCUCCUCCAUCAAAUCCACCACUUAUUCCUAAUCCAUUUCAACCUCCCCCAGCAAGUCCUCCACCACUCAUUCCAAAUCCAUUUCAGCCUCCACCAUCAAGUCCACCAC
rnacentral:lncRNA from 1 species